UGGGCCAAGGUUCUGAUGACGACCAAACCAGU
rnacentral:piRNA from 1 species